GGGGAUGUGGCUCAAACGGUAAAGCGCUCACCUGGCAUGCGCGGGGUGCUGGGUUGGAUCCUCAGCACCACA
rnacentral:tRNA from 1 species